GAAAGCUGUGUCACAUCCUGAGAGUCAUUCCCGCAGCCCUGGCUGGACUCGUUCCUGCCUACAACUCUCUCAUCCUGUCCGGCAUUGGUGCAGGGUGUCUCGAGGCUGAGAUUCCAUCACUUCCACAUCUGUGUCUUCACCCUCUGUCCACAGGCCACGCACCCAGUAAGGGGAAGUGAGGCAGACUGGCUGUGAACCUGGGGAUGCCACCAAAACCAGAGCAUUAGGAAGACAAGCAGGGCCUUCAGUAGGCAUAAGGUGAUGAGGUUCAUGCCGUUGGAUCCCACGGGUGCCCUGGGGAAGAGAUGGUUGGGAAGUCUGAGAGGAAGCAGGAGAGCUUUCGGAGCACAUGGAUGCCGUCCAGAAUGGAGAUGGUUGUGGCUCGGAAGAAAAAGAAAUCACCCAGCUCGGAGUCAGGAUACAUUUGGAGGUCCAGGCCGCCGAGUUUGCUGGUGGGGAAGAUAGGCACCAGAAAGGAAAGAGGACAUCCAGGGCAAUUUCUUCUGCCCCCCAGCCAAUCCGUACAUUGUCCAGAGGGUCUUGCUCUGUCAUCCAGGCUGGCGCGAUCUCGGCUCACUUUGACCUCUGCCUCCUGGGUUCAAGCGAUUCUCCUGUCACAGCCUCCUGAGCAGCUGGGAUUACAGGCAGGCACCACCAUGCUGAGCUAAUUUUUGUAUUUUUAGUAGAGACCAGGUUUCGCCAUGUUGCCCAGGCUACUCUCGAACUCCUGGCCUCAUGUGAUCCGCCCACCUCAGCCUCCCAAAGUGCUGGGAUUACAGGCGUGAGCCACUGCAACCAGCUGGAACAAUCUUGAUAUUAGGGUGAACAAGUGAUUUCAUAGCUUUCUCUGAAGGAGGAAACACUGGGAGCAUCCACCCGAGAAUCAACACUGUGGAUCAUUCUGGGGAGUUAAUAGUUUUGAGAUGUGUCCCAAGAUAAUUGUUAGCUUGAAUUACCACGUGGAUGGAACCAUGCUGAUCCUAAGAGCCAGGUAAUGGCCAAAGGUGCCAUUCAGGUGAAAUCCCCAGGUGGAAAAUUCUUCCACUUCCAAUGAUAGAAUUCUAUUACUCUGCCUAUAGUUUGGUGAAACAAGACUUUACAAAUAGAGGACAAGAUCCAUUUUGCCAAGAACAACCAUAUGGAUUUAACUGCUGCUAACAACCGUUAGGAAGGAACAUCAAUAAAAAGCAAGCCUGUGAGACAACUCCUUCCCCAAGGGGCGCUUGUUACAGAGCGCGGGCCCCAGCAGGCCUGGUCCAUCCUCCACAUUCUUUCCUCUCUGACUUAUUUUUACUUUCUGUUUGAAUUGGCUUGGUUUUAUUUUGCCCUAAACUGUGUCUGUAGUCAUCCCCCGACAGAGUUUUGAGAGUGAAAGUCCGAUCUGCCCACGCUUCACAGAACUCAAUGCGGAGCCUUCUCAGGAGUCACUUGACGUCAAGGCUGACUUUUAAAUUUGCCAAAAAGGCAUUCUUUGGGGAGCGGUCGGCACCAUCACUUUCCCUCUUUAGAGAGCUGCUACUGGCUGC
rnacentral:lncRNA from 10 species